rnacentral:rRNA from 1 species
AGGCUUUGAUCCUGGCUCAGAACGAACGCUGGCGGCAGGCUUAACACAUGCAAGUCGAGCGAGGACUUCGGUCCUAGCGGCGGACGGGUGAGUAACGCGUGGGAACGUGCCCUUCUCUACGGAACAGUCCUGGGAAACUGGGUUUAAUACCGUAUACCCUCUUUGGAGGAAAGAUUUAUCGGAGGAGGAUCGGCCCGCGUUGGAUUAGGUAGUUGGUGGGGUAAUGGCCUACCAAGCCGACGAUCCGUAGCUGGUUUGAGAGGAUGAUCAGCCACACUGGGACUGAGACACGGCCCAGACUCCUACGGGAGGCAGCAGUGGGGAAUCUUGCACAAUGGGCGAAAGCCUGAUGCAGCAACGCCGCGUGCGGGAUGAAGGCCUUAGGGUUGUAAACCGCUUUCAGCAGGAAAGAAAAUGACGGUACCUGCUAGAAGAAGGUGCGGCGAA